CAUUUUCCGACCUGAAACUCACUACUCGCAUUGCUCGCAGUACGCCACACAAUCGUCGAGAAACUGACCUAUCAUGAUGCGUGUUACUAUCACACUUGUUGUAAGCCUGCUGUUGAUUGGCCUGGUUGCUUCGAGAACUGUUGAGAAUAUUGUCACCAGAGAUUUGACUGAAAAAGCCGCAGUGAACCAGGAAGAGCGUGGCUUGGGCCAAUGUUUCAAGAUAACUGACCCCGCCGCCAAACAGGCGUGUAUAUGUGCAGAGACUGGCAAUGGAUGUGCGUAUUAGCACUAAGAAACAAACCACAUACUCGAAGAUCUGAGAUGAGCGUCUUAUUCAGUUUUAAGUUUGGAUACAUUAUAGUAGUUAUUUAGAAAAUAAAAUUGAUAAUAAAUAAUGCAAUAUUACAAUAAA